AUUAUGGCUCAGAUGAACGCUGGCGGCGUGCUUAACACAUGCAAGUCGCGCGUGAAAGGACCUUCGGGUCCGAGGUAAAGCGGCGCACGGGUGAGUAACGCGUGGAUGAUCUACCCAUGAGUUAGGGAAUAACGGCUGGAAACGGUCGCUAAUACCAAAUACGCUCCGAUUUCAACUUCGGGGGAAAGGUGGCCUCUGCUUGCAAGCUACUGCUCAUGGAUGAGUCCGCGUCCCAUUAGCUAGGUUGGUGGGGUAACGGCCCACCAAGGCGACGAUGGGUAGCCGGUCUGAGAGGAUGACCGGCCACACUGGGACUGGAACACGGCCCAGACUCCUACGGGAGGCAGCAGUGGGGAAUAUUGCGCAAUGGGCGAAAGCCUGACGCAGCGACGCCGCGUGAGGGAUGAAAGGUCCUCGGAUCGUAAACCUCUGUCAGGAGGGAAGAACCGCCACGGUGCUAAUCAGCCGUGGUCUGACGGUACCUCCAAAGGAAGCACCGGCUAACUCCGUGCCAGCAGCAGC
rnacentral:rRNA from 1 species